rnacentral:rRNA from 1 species
GCGAUGUGCCUAAGGUAUGCAAGUCGAACGAUUCCUGUAUCUUCGGAUACAGGGAGUGGCAAACGGCUGAGUAACGCGUAGGAACCUACCCCAAACUCGAGUAUAGCCCCGCGAAAGCGGGGGUAAUCCUCGAUAGCCCGUGAAGUAUUUUACUUCACGGUAAAGCUUUUGCGGUUUGGGAUGGGCCUGCGUCCUAUCAGGUAGUUGGUGAGGUAAAUGCUCACCAAGCCUAUGACGGGUAGCUGGUCUGAGAGGAUGGUCAGCCAGACUGGGACUGCGACACGGCCCAGACUCCUACGGGAGGCAGCAACUAGGAAUUGUGCGCAAUGGACGAAAGUCUGACGCCGCGACAUCGCGUGGAGGAUGAAGGUCUUCGGAUUGUAAACUCCUUUUCUUACCGAACAAGUUCUGAGUGUAGGUAAGGAAUAAGUGCCUGCUAACCACGUGCCAGAAGCAUCGGUAAUACGUGGGGCACGAGCGUUAUCCGGAUUUACUGGGCGUAAAGAGAAGCGUAGGCGGCUCAAUAAGUUUGGUGUUAAAUCUUCCGGCUCAACCGGAAACAAGCACCGAAAACUAUCGAGAUUGAGUCGAGUAGGGAAGAGGGGAAUUCCUGGUGGAGCGGUUAAAUGCGUAGAUAUCAGGAGGAAUACCAAGGGCGAAGGCACCUCUUUGGACUCGUACUGACGCUGAGGCUCGAAAGCGUGGGUAGCAAAACGGAUUAGAUACCCGUGUAGUCCACGCCGUAAACGAUCCCUGUUAGAUGU